rnacentral:rRNA from 1 species
CCUACGGGUGGCUGCAGUGGGGAAUAUUGGACAAUGGGCGAAAGCCUGAUCCAGCCAUGCCGCGUGUGUGAAGAAGGCCUUCGGGUUGUAAAGCACUUUCAGUGGGGAAGAAAGCCUUGGGGCUAAUACCCUCGAGGAAGGACAUCACCCACAGAAGAAGCACCGGCUAACUCCGUGCCAGCAGCCGCGGUAAUACGGAGGGUGCGAGCGUUAAUCGGAAUUACUGGGCGUAAAGCGCGCGUAGGCGGUCUGAUAAGCCGGUUGUGAAAGCCCCGGGCUCAACCUGGGAACGGCAUCCGGAACUGUCAGGCUAGAGUGCAGGAGAGGAAGGUAGAAUUCCCGGUGUAGCGGUGAAAUGCGUAGAGAUCGGGAGGAAUACCAGUGGCGAAGGCGGCCUUCUGGACUGACACUGACGCUGAGGUGCGAAAGCGUGGGUAGCAAUCAGGAUUAGAUACCCUGGUAGUC